rnacentral:rRNA from 1 species
AUUGAACGCUGGCGGCAGGCCUAACACAUGCAAGUCGAACGAGUGGCGGACGGGUGAGUAAUGUCUGGGAAACUGCCUGAUGGAGGGGGAUAACUACUGGAAACGGUAGCUAAUACCGCAUACCAUCGGAUGUGCCCAGAUGGGAUUAGCUAGGAGGUGGGGUAACGGCUCACCUAGGCGACGAUCCCUAGCUGGUCUGAGAGGAUGACCAGCCACACUGUGACUGAGACACGGUCCAGACGCCUACGGGAGGCAGCAGUGGUGAAUAUGGCACAAUGGGCGCAAGCCUGAUGCAGCCAUGCCGCGUGUAUGAAGAAGGCCUGCGGGUUGUAAAGUACUUUCAGCGGGGAGGCGUUACCCGCAGAAGAAGCACCGGCUAACGCCGUGCCAGCCGCCGCGGUAAUUC